rnacentral:rRNA from 1 species
UACGGAGGUCUCAAGCGUUGUUCGGAUUCAUUGGGCGUAAAGGGUGCGUAGGCGGCGGAGUAAGUUGGGUGUGAAAUCCCGAGGCUCAACCGCGGAAUGGCAUUCAAUACUGCUUCGCUCGAGUACUGGAGAGGAGGCUGGAAUUUACGGUGUAGCAGUGAAAUGCGUAGAUAUCGGAAGGAAGGCCGGUGGCGAAGGCGAGCCUCUGGACAGUUACUGACGCUGAUGCACGAAGGCCAGGGGAGCAAACGGG